GACGAACGCUGGCGGCGUGCUUAACACAUGCAAGUCGAACGGAAAGGCCCUGCUUUUGUGGGGUGCUCGAGUGGCGAACGGGUGAGUAACACGUGAGUAACCUGCCCUUGACUUUGGGAUAACUUCAGGAAACUGGGGCUAAUACCGGAUAGGAGCUCCUGCUGCAUGGUGGGGGUUGGAAAGUUUCGGCGGUUGGGGAUGGACUCGCGGCUUAUCAGCUUGUUGGUGGGGUAGUGGCUUACCAAGGCUUUGACGGGUAGCCUGCCUGAGAGGGUUACCGGCCACAUGGGGACUGAGAGACGGACCAGACGCCUACGGGAGGCAGCAGGGGGGAAUAUUGCAGAAUGGGCGGACGCCUGAUGCGGCAACGCCGCGUGCGGGAAGACGGCCUUCGGGUUGUAAACCGCUUUCGCCUGAGACGAAGAGUGAGUGACGGUAAUGGGUAAAGAAGCACCGGCUAACUACGUG
rnacentral:rRNA from 1 species